AGUCAUAUGCUUGUCACAAAGAUUAAGCCAUGCACGUCUAAGUACGAGCCGCCCCGGCGGCGAAACUGCGAACGGCUCAUUAAAUCGGUUACGACUCCACUGGUGCCAGACGUCCAGGUGGAUAACGUGCGGCAACUCCGGUGCUAAUACAUGCAACAAGGCUCCGACCCGGCGCGCGAGCGUCGGGGAAGGGCGCACUUAUUAGGCGAAAACCGACGUCCCGGGUCAGACCGGGGCUUCGGCGGACGACACCCGAGUAAUUGCCGCCGAUCGCACGGCCUCGCGCCGGCGACGCAUCUUUCGAGUUUCCGAUCUAUCACGCUGACGACGGCUGGUGCUACGCCAACCGUGGCGUUUACGGAUAACAGAGAAUCUGGGUUCGAUUCUGGAGAGGCCGCCUGAGAAACGGCGACCACUUCCAAGGAAGGCAGCAGGCACGCAAAUUACCCACUUCUGACACAGAGAGGUAGUGACGUGAAAUACCGAUGCGGCGCGCGCAAGCGACGUCGCAAUCGGAAUGAGAACAGUUCAAAACCUUUAACGAGGAUCCACUGGAGGGAAAGCCUGGUGCCAGCAGCCGCGGUAAUUCCAGCUCCAGCAGCGUAUAUUAUUAUUGCUGCGUUUAAAAAGCUCAUAGUUGGCGUAUCGACGCGUGACGGCGGUCGGCCUCGCGGCUCGCACUGCCCGAUCGCGCCAUGCGCGAACGUCGCCGACGGUUGCGCUUCGCCGCGUGACCUCGGCAGCGUCGCACGUUCACCUUGAGGAAACUGAACCGUUCAUGG
rnacentral:rRNA from 1 species